rnacentral:rRNA from 1 species
CAGUCGCCACGGUAAUACGAAGGGGGCUAGCGUUGUUCGGAUUUACUGGGCGUAAAGGGUGCGUAGGCGGAUUGUUAAGUCAGGGGUGAAAUGCCGGGGCUCAACCUCGGAACUGCCUUUGAUACUGGCGAUCUUGAGUCCGGGAGAGGUGAGUGGAACUGCGAGUGUAGAGGUGAAAUUCGUAGAUAUUCGCAAGAACACCAGUGGCGAAGGCGGCUCACUGGCCCGGAACUGACGCUGAGGCACGACAGCGUGGGGAGCAAACAGGAUUAGAUACCCUGGUAGUCCCUGUCUCUUAUAA